AUUGAACGCUGGCGGCAGGCCUAACACAUGCAAGUCGAGCGGAUGAAGGGAGCUUGCUCCUGGAUUCAGCGGCGGACGGGUGAGUAAUGCCUAGGAAUCUGCCUGGUAGUGGGGGAUAACGUCCGGAAACGGGCGCUAAUACCGCAUACGUCCUGAGGGAGAAAGUGGGGGAUCUUCGGACCUCACGCUAUCAGAUGAGCCUAGGUCGGAUUAGCUAGUUGGUGGGGUAAAGGCCUACCAAGGCGACGAUCCGUAACUGGUCUGAGAGGAUGAUCAGUCACACUGGAACUGAGACACGGUCCAGACUCCUACGGGAGGCAGCAGUGGGGAAUAUUGGACUAUGGGCGAAAGCCUGAUCCAGCCAUGCCGCGUGUGAAGAAGGUCUUCGGAUUGUAAAGCACUUUAAGUUGGGAGGAAGGGCAGUAAGUUAAUACCUUGCUGUUUUGACGUUACCAACAGAAUAAGCACCGGCUAACUUCGUG
rnacentral:rRNA from 1 species